rnacentral:rRNA from 1 species
AACGAACGCUGGCAGCAUGCCUAACACAUGCCAGUCGAACGAGACCUUCGGGUCUAGUGGCGCACGGGUGCGUAACGCGUGGGAACCUGCCCUUAGGUUCGGAAUAACUCCCCGAAAGGGGUGCUAAUACCGGAUAAUGUCUUCGGACCAAAGAUUUAUCGCCUUUGGAUGGGCCCGCGUUGGAUUAGCUAGUUGGUAGGGUAAAAGCCUACCAAGGCGACGAUCCAUAGCUGGUCUGAGAGGAUGAUCAGCCACACUGGGACUGAGACACGGCCCAGACUCCUACGGGAGGCAGCAGUGGGGAAUAUUGGACAAUGGGCGAAAGCCUGAUCCAGCAAUGCCGCGUGAGUGAUGAAGGCCUUAGGGUUGUAAAGCUCUUUUACCCGGGAUGAUAAUGACAGUACCGGGAGAAUAAGCUCCGGCUAACUCCGUG